AUGUCCCCAGUGUCCCAUUCCAGUGUCCCCAAUGUCCCAUUCCAGUGUCCCCAAUGUCCCCACUCUGUGUCCCCUGGCUGUCACAAGGUGCAGAUCCCGUCCUGGUGUCCCCAGUGUCCCAUUCCAGUGUCCCCUGGCUGUCACAGGGUGAAGAUCUCGUCCUGGUGUCCCCAAUGUCCCAUUCCAGUGUCCCCAAUGUCCCCUGGCUGUCACAGGGUGAAGAUCUCAUCCUGCUGUCCCAUUCCAGUGUCCCCAAUGUCCCCUGGCUGUCACAGGGUGAAGAUCUCAUCCUGGUGUCCCAUUCCAGUGUCCCCAAUGUCCCAUUCCAGUGUCCCCUGGCUGUCCCUGCUGUCACAGGGUGAAGAUCUUGUCCUGGUGUCCCAUUCCAGUGUCCCCAGUGUCCCAUUCCAGUGUCCCCAAUGUCCCAUUCCAGUGUCCCCAAUGUCCCAUUCCAGUGUCCCCUGGCUGUCACAGGGUGAAGAUCUCGUCCUGCUGUCCCAUUCCAGUGUCCCCAGUGUCCCCUGGCUGUCACAGGGUGAAGAUCUCGUCCUGGUGUCCCCAAUGUCCCAUUUCAGUGUCCCCAGUGUCCCCUGGCUGUCACAGGGUGAAGAUCUCAUCCUGCUGUCCCAUUCCAGUGUCCCCAAUGUCCCCUGGCUGUCACAGGGUGAAGAUCUCGUCCUCGGCGUCGCGCAGCGCGGCCGCCCGCGGGCUCCGGCUCAGGGGCCGGGGUCCCAGGCGGGCGCCCCGGGGGGACGCGGGGCCGGGG
rnacentral:lncRNA from 1 species